AGUUUACUUCCUGGGAUUAGUGACGUAGAGAAGACCAACAUUAUCAUAGUUCAGCCCUCUCUGCUUCGCUUGGGUACGCCCUCAAAGACGGGGGUGGAGAGCGCUGAGUCAGAAGAGAGCUAAAAUGGCGGAGGUUGGGAGUCCCUGCUUUGACCCUGUUUGCAAACUCUUGUUUCAUCAUUUAAGCGAUUAAAUCUCUCGAGUAGACGCUGUCUCUUUAGAUGCAAGGGCAAAAUAGCACUUUAUGGACUUACACAGAGGACAUCAUGUUUAAUACGGUUCCGGAAAAAUCCAGUCAGAAGUUGUUCACGGAGUUUUCACAAUAACUGCUUCUCAUGAACCGAAGCUGCGCGACGUCUCCUCCUGAAAGUUGGAUUACCGUGCACUUCUGGAUCACAGGCUAUUCGCAGCUGGACACAUCCUUCUACACUGUAUGCAAACAUGCAACAUCAUUACACACAGUACAAGGAGUCAGACUGGCAUAUGAGGAGCAAAGGAACCCAGGCAGUAGCAUCGUUUCACAAUGUUUCAAUCACCAUCAUCAGUGGAUGCCUUUGCCGUCCGUAGCCUGAGAUUUCAGAUUUGCAGCAAAAAAUGUGACUUUCCCAUUUAUUGGAAUGCUGUGCAGGUUAUACCUUACAGCCGUCCAUUACAACGUCACCAAGCCGUAACAAAAGCUGGAGAGGGAAAGUACAAGGCUAUGUUCCCAAAACACACAACUGACAUACUUUAUGUGGAUGAUGU